UUUGGUGGUUAUAGUAGUGAUUAGAGAGAGAGAGUGGUGGAAAGCAUGCAGACAUGUUUGGGUCCUUGGAGAGCAGCAAUGGUCUCUAAUGAGCAGCUUGAGUAAGGAGGGGGGUGGGGUGAAGCUAUUUGGGUCUAGCUUCAAGUGUGUCAAGAAAGAACAGAUGAAUAGAAUAGCGAUGUAAACGAGCCGAAAAUAGGUGAG
rnacentral:lncRNA from 1 species